rnacentral:rRNA from 1 species
CCUACGGGAGGCUGCAGUGAGGAAUAUUGGUCAAUGGCCGCAGGGCUGAACCAGCCAAGUCGCGUGAGGGAUGACGGUCCUAUGGAUUGUAAACCUCUUUUGUCAGGGAGCAAAGGGCGCUACGUGUGCCGUUUUGCGAGUUCCUGAAGAAAAAGCCUCGGCUAACGCCGUGCCAGCAGCCGCGGUAAUACGGAGGAUGCGAGCGUUAUCCGGAUUUAUUGGGUUUAAAGGGUGCGCAGGCGGAAGUUCAAGUCAGCGGUAAAAUUGAGGGGCUCAACCCCGUCGAGCCGUUGAAACUGGUGUUCUUGAGUGAGCGAGAAGUAUGCGGAAUGCGUGGUGUAGCGGUGAAAUGCAUAGAUAUCACGCAGAACUCCGAUUGCGAAGGCAGCAUACCGGCGCUCAACUGACGCUGAGGCACGAAAGUGUGGGUAUCGAACAGGAUUAGAUACCCGAGUAGUC